UACGGAGGAUGCAAGCGUUAUCCGGAAUGAUUGGGCGUAAAGGGUCCGCAGGUGGCAAUGUGUGUCUGCUGUCAAAGAAUGAGGCUUAACCUCAUCAAGGCAGUGGAAACUACAUAGCUAGAGUACGGUCGGGGUAGAAGGAAUUCCUGGUGUAGCGGUGAAAUGCGUAGAGAUCAGGAAGAACACCGGUGGCGAAAGCGUUCUGCUAGACCUGUGCUGACACUGAGGGACGAAAGCUAGGGGAGCGAAUGGG
rnacentral:rRNA from 1 species